GCGGACUUUAUCAACAGCCCCAUAACCUCACCUUCUGUCCUAUUUCCUAAACCCCAUGACACAUCACUCUUCUUUCUCUUCUUAUAAUUCCAAGUAACAUAAAUAAAAUUCACUAUAGAACCCUAUUAGCCCACCAACUUCAAAAGCUAAUUUAUGGGCCCAAGAUUUAGGUCAGCAGUAUUCUAACUUUACAAAAGGGGAGGAGACCAAUUUCUGCCCUUUAAGCGCUCAUCUGCACAGGAAGCAACCAGAAGGAGGAGGUCCCUGAGUCGCUUUAAAAGCAUCAGUUCUGAUUACCGUACUCAUUCUGGCAUGGCCAUCAAAUGCAAGAAGUGUGAAGAAGAAAUGGAUGCUGUUUUAAAAGAAGGCUCGUCCUGACACAGCACACUGAUCACCAUCUCACUGUCCCUUUCACAAGCUUACUCCGUCUUUGAGCUUCACAGCUGCAGUUUGGGAAGAACAGGCUAGCCCAGGCCUCCAAGAGCAUCCCAGAGAGGAAGACCAGCCAAUGGAGGUCCUGAGUGAGAGGGACAUUUGCCCUAAUGUUUGGUGAGGUACCUAAC
rnacentral:lncRNA from 1 species